AGAGUUUGAUCCUGGCUCAGGACGAACGCUGGCGGCGUGCUUAACACAUGCAAGUCGAACGAGAUCCAAUGUGUAGCAAUACACAGGAAGAUCUAGUGGCGAACGGGUGAGGAACACGUGAGAAACGUACCCCAGACUUUGGGAUAACAGUUCGAAAGGACUGCUAAUACCAAAUAACGUCGGAAGUCCGCAUGGACAUCUGACGAAAGGGAUUCCGGUUUGGGAGCGUCUCGCGGACCUAUCAGCUAGUUGGAGGGGUAACGGCCCACCAAGGCAACGACGGGUAGCUGGUCUGAGAGGAUGGUCAGCCACACUGGGACUGAGACACGGCCCAGACUCCUACGGGAGGCAGCAGUGGGGAAUCUUGCGCAAUGGGCGAAAGCCUGACGCAGCAACGCCGCGUGCGGGAAGAAGGCUUUCGGGCUGUAAACCGCUUUCAGUAGGAACGAAACUGACGGUACCUACAGGAGAAGGAGCGGCCAACUAUGUGCCAGCAGCCGCGGUGACACAUAGGCUCCAAGCGUUGUCCGGAUUUAUUGGGCGUAAAGAGCUCGUAGGCGGUUGAGUAAGUCGGGUGUGAAAACUUUGGGCUUAACCCAAAGAUGCCACUCGAUACUGUUCAACUUGAGUUUGGUAGGGGAGUGGGGAAUUCCUUGUGUAGCGGUGAAAUGCGCAGAUAUAAGGAGGAACACCGGUGGCGAAGGCGCCACUCUGGGCCAAUACUGACGCUGAGGAGCGAAAGCGUGGGGAGGCAAACAGGAUUAGAUACCCUGGUAGUCCACGCGGUAAACGGUGAUCACUAGGUGUGGGUCUCUAACCAAUGAGAUCCGCGCGGUCGCUAACGCAUUAAGUGACCCGCCUGGGGAGUACGGUCGCAAGACUAAAACUCAAAGGAAUUGACGGAAGGGG
rnacentral:rRNA from 1 species